rnacentral:rRNA from 1 species
AACGAACGCUGGCGGCAUGCCUAACACAUGCAAGUCGAACGAAGCCUUCGGGCUUAGUGGCGCACGGGUGCGUAACGCGUGGGAAUCUGCCCUUGGGUUCGGAAUAACAGUUAGAAAUGACUGCUAAUACCGAAUGAUGUCUUCGGACCAAAGAUUUAUCGCCCAAGGAUGAGCCCGCGUCGGAUUAGCUAGUUGGUGAGGUAAAGGCUCACCAAGGCGACGAUCCGUAGCUGGUCUGAGAGGAUGAUCAGCCACACUGGGACUGAGACACGGCCCAGACUCCUACGGGAGGCAGCAGUGGGGAAUAUUGGACAAUGGGCGAAAGCCUGAUCCAGCAAUGCCGCGUGAGUGAUGAAGGCUUAGGGUUGUAAAGCUCUUUCACCCGGGAUGAUAAUGACAGUACCGGGAGAAUAAGCCCCGGCUAACUCCGUGCCAGCAGCCGCGGUAAU